rnacentral:rRNA from 1 species
UACAGAGGUCCCAAGCGUUGUUCGGAUUCAUUGGCGUAAAGGGUGCGUAGGUGGCGCUGUAAGUCGGGUGUGAAAUUUCGGAGCUUAACUCCGAAACUGCAUUCGAUACUGCGGUGCUUGAGGACUGGAGAGGAGACUGGAAUUCAUGGUGUAGCAGUGAAAUGCGUAGAGAUCAUGAGGAAGACCAGUGGCGAAGGCGGGUCUCUGGACAGUUCCUGACACUGAGGCACGAAGGCCAGGGGAGCAAACGGG